AUUGAACGCUGGCGGCAUGCUUUACACAUGCAAGUCGAACGGCAGCGCGGGCUUCGGCCUGGCGGCGAGUGGCGAACGGGUGAGUAAUGCAUCGGAACGUGCCCAGUAGUGGGGGAUAGCCCGGCGAAAGCCGGAUUAAUACCGCAUACGAUCUGAGGGUGAAAGCGGGGGACCGAAAGGCCUCGCGCUAUUGGAGCGGCCGAUGUCGGAUUAGCUUGUUGGUGGGUUAAAGGCUUACCAAGGCGACGAUCCGUAACUGGUCUGAGAGGACGACCCGCCACACUGGGACUGAGACCCGGCCCAGACUCCUACGGGAGGCAGCAGUGGGGAAUUUUGGACAAUGGAGGCAACCCUGAUCCAGCCAUGCCGCGUGCGGGAAGAAGGCCUGCGGGUUGUAAACCGCUUUUGUUCGGGAAGAAAUACUCUGGGCUAAUACCCCGGGGGGAUGACGGUACCGGAAGAAUAAGCACCGGCUAACUACGUG
rnacentral:rRNA from 1 species